GUUUGUUGUUGUUGUGUAUCUGGAUCUUGUCUCCCGCUCCCAUACGAAGCGAAAACUGCACCACGCUGCAGACCCACGGACUCGCCUCUACAGCCUCUGUCCAACACACCGCCACACAUCCUCAGACCCGGACUUUCUCCGUGCAGUGCCCCAAUAGACUGCCCCGGUACCACGCCAUCCACACCAUCGCUUCCUCGGACAGACAAGUCGUCCACAGUUGACGACGAAAAAAAAGGAAGAAGAGGUUCAGGAUAUUGUGCAGAGGAACACACAAAAUUACCUGAAAGUACCUGCAAGAUACAGUUUUUGAGCCUGAUGGGAGGCAGCAACAUUGGAGACGCUGUGAGGAGAAUCCUUAGAAAAAUAGCUACCAAUGAGGCCUGAUCAAAUUACAGCCUGAAAGGCCGAAAAGGAAAACUGACCUUCAUAGGGACAGCCCUCCACCAUAUUGUUUUAAGUAUGCUUUUCAAAACUUCUCUCUUCUUCUCACUUCAUCAUGCAACUUUUUAAAGAACAAAUGAUAAACAGAAAAAUGUCUGUACUGUCCGUGUACCUUCGGAUAAUUAGUUUUCUCGUUUUUGAUUUCUAAACAGAAAAAAUAAGAAAGGGCCCGGUUCCCCGAUAACGCUCACUCUUAGCGCGCUAAGAAGACUCGAAAGAUAUAUCUUACCAAAGUUGUUUAUGUUCCUAAGUGUGUUCCCCGAAGUGUCCCUUAGGAAGCUUCUUAACAUGCGUUCGACAUUAUAAAGGCGCUGUCCCAAGUGAAGGUGCUGAAUUAGUUGGCAUCGAUUGCUCAGGAAUCGAUUUUCCACUUCGCGUGAAGGUGCAUUACAGCGUUAAGAAAGACAAACACGUUCUAUGCAAAUGAAACAUUCCUCAAAUUAUUCCAGUAACAUUUAUUUUAACAUAUUUUAAGUUAUCAGUAAAAUAUAGACUAUUAAUUAAAUUAUCAAAUUGUCAGUAAUAUGUUCACACAAUAUGUUGUGACGGGUAGACGAACCGGGUAUCCAUAACAACUUAAAAUACUCCAUAAUUUCUGCUCAUACAGAAAAGAAUAAUACAUCAUUCGCAACUACUUUUAUUUAGUUGACUUUAUUUACUUAGUAGCCUAAUUAGUAUCCAGUUCUUUACAUUAAAUUAGUUGAGUUAACAUAAUUAGUUAAUGAACUAAUAAAAUGAUCAAAUACAGAUUAAAUCAAGAUAAACCCAUGGUAACAGAUUGCGAAAGCGUGGGCACGGUUUAUGAAUUUGUGGGUACAGAUUUAUCUCUGUAAUGAAUUUGUGGGUAUAGAUUGAAAAACUGAAGGCACAGUUUACAAAUCUGAGAGCGCGGAUUAGGAACUCGUGGGUACGGUUUAUUAAUCCGUGGGCACGAUUUGUUAAACCGAGGGAACAGUUUGAGAAUCGUGAGUACGGUUUAUAAACUGAGCGGACGGAUUGCAAAAUCAUCGCCACGGAUUGUUUUUUUUUUCUCCCACAGGUGACUUCCCGGGCUCCAUAAUGAAGCGUACGAAUGUGUCGGGAAUCGUGCCAUAAUGUUAAGAGAGAGGUUAAGAAAUAGGUUAAGAACUACUUAGCCAUAAGAACGUUUUAGGAACCGGGCCCUGCUCAUUUAUCACAUCAUAGAAAUGUGAUUUUACUUUAAACCAUUCUGUUCUGUGAUGCACUCCCUAUUCAAGGCCCAGCUAACACACGACGUACCAGUUACGUAAUUUUUCCAUACUUUUUGUUAAUUUCAUGACUUACUAACUGGUAACGUAACUACAACGUCGCAGGCCCGUAAUUUCAUUACCAUGAAAUGACCAAUUCACAACGUCGCAAUUAUGUGCUCUUAAUGUUGCAAGAUAACCAAGAACGUUCCAGUUACGUAAUAUAUAAGUUGACUUUGGACAUUUAGGACAAGGCAGUAGGUGUACUGUAUGAUAUGACAUUUUGAAAAGGAACAAAGAUGCACAAAAUUGCUAUAUACACUUAAAUUUUUGAUAUUAAUUCAUUAAGGGAUACACUUUAAUGAUUGCAGGAUCCGUACGUUAAUGCGCGCAAACAGCACAGUCUGUGCAUGCGCAUUGUCUUGUGACGUUAGAGACAUAAUUAGAUUAAAAAAAUAAAAUGCUUAAAUAAUCUUUAAAAAAAAGAAAAAUAUUUAAGUGCAAAGGAAAACAAAAUAUAAAAAUUUCUGGAAGACACAAGCCAAUUAUGUUCACGUUAAUUAAAUGGGUGGAGGAUGAAAAAUUCUCAAUUCUGCCCACUGAACAUAUUAGAAAAUUUUAUGAGGAUGAAUACACAGCGGGUAUGGAGGAAAAUUACGUUUACUUGGUGGAGUGGAGCCGAAAAGGGAGUUGGUGGGCGCCGGCCUAUGAGGCCUUCAUCAUCAAGAUAGCAGGUGCCUAUUUUUAUUAUGCUAUUUCCAAUACAAUACUCUUAUAUUAUCCUCUAUUAUUCUGUAUAGGCCUACCGCUUGUAGAUUUAUAAAUGACGUCAGUAAACUAUUAAUUUUGUUAUUUUUUUUUUUUUUUUAGUUAACAUCAGUUAAUAUUUAGUAUGUAUUUGUGGCGUACUACAACAAUUAGCCUUUUUCUUAGCUUUAUUCUACCUCCUCAGAAAGGGAAAGAACUUUACAAAUGAAACUUAAGGAAACUGAAGAACAGCUACCCAAGUCAGACACUGAAGAGAAAGAGUAAACCUUCAAUGAAUCUCAUAGAGGCCGCAGAGAUGAGAGAGGAAAUAGCAGCUAAGAAAAAGGUACACCUCACAGACCUACCAAAUGAUCUAAAGGUAUGGAAUGAAAGAAAUUCUACAGCUUGUGAUAAAUCAGCCAAGAUAAGAGAAUACAAAUCUAAAUAAAGAGAAUGAGAGGCUGAAAAAUGAAAUACUUGAAGGUAAGUUCUGU